rnacentral:rRNA from 1 species
GCUUACGCCAUACCACCCUGAGCACGCCCGAUCUCGUCCGAUCUCGGAAGCUAAGCAGGGUCGGGCCUGGUUAGUACUUGGAUGGGAGACCGCCUGGGAAUACCAGGUCCUGUAAGCU